rnacentral:pre_miRNA from 1 species
UCGACGCAUAGGGAACUCCCCUCAGCCCAAUACGGGGGGCCGAGAAGCGACACGAGCUGCCAUCUCAUGCACCUGGCUAUGCUCAUCAUUCAUGACAACAUACAUCAAAGACAGAGAUCGAUGGAGAAGAGUAUUACUUCACGAGACGAGAGUACUAGACUAUCGAUGGUGAUAAGCUUAGCCUAGUGCAUGGUGUGGGAGCAACUCCAUUCGCUUUACUUCGCCCGCCCAUUGGACUGAAGGGAGCUCCUGAUCUUACUCUA